CCAAUAGCGUAUAUUAAAGUUGUUGCAGUUAAAAAGCUCGUAGUUGAACUUCGGGGUUUACCCAUUGGUCAGGCUUAAUUGUCUGCACUGGUGAGAUGAAUCUCUACCUUCUGAGGAACUUUCAUGCCAUUUAUUUGGUGUGAUGGGAAAUCAGGACUGUUACUUUGAAAAAAUUAGAGUGUUUAAAGCAGGCUAACGUCUGAAUACAUUAGCAUGGAAUAAUGAAAUAGGACGGACUGAUUCUAUUUCGUUGGUUUCUAGGAUAACCGUAAUGAUUAAUAGGGAUAGUUGGGGGCAUUAGUAUUCAAUUGUCAGUGGUGAAAUUCUUGGAUUUAUUGAAGACUAACUACUGCGAAAGCAUUUGCCAAGGAUGUUUUCAUUAAUCAAGAACGAAAGUUAGGGGAUCGAAGACGAUCAGAUACCGUCGUAGUCUUAACCAUAAACUAUGCCGACUAGGGAUCGGACGAAGUUAAUUUUAUAAUGACGCGUUCGGCACCUUACG
rnacentral:rRNA from 1 species